UGAGUGCCCGUGUGGGUAGGCAGAUAGAGCGUGGCGAGCCUAUUUUAGGGGGAGGAGAAAGAGAGAGAGACGACGCGGGUUUUGUAGCGGCCCUACGCGGCGUUGGUCGUUGCCACUCCACUCUCCACCGGCCUAGGUCGAGUCCAGCGGUACCGCGUCUGCCGCUGCUGCCGUCCUCCCCGCGGUAGGCACCCCGUCCUGCGACGGUACCUCUACCUCGAGGAGGGGGGGUGCUGCGUCUCCGGGGUACCUCGGAGGGAGGAAGAGGCCACUGAAGAAGAGUCCGGGGUGGGGGAUGGAGACUGGACGCGGCGGCGGCGGUACCUGCAGCGGUAGAGUUCGGCGGAGGCGCGGAAGCUCUCGACCUACGCCUUCGUGCCGCAGCAGACGUCGCUGCACGAGGCGGAGCUGCGGUCGCUCCGGCCGCCGCAGUUGCACGCGCGCGAGCGGCGCGAGGCCCUCCCGCUGCAACAACGGUGGUAGGGCGCAGCGCGGACGCACUGCGGCGCGUGCAGGCCCCGGCGCCGCCGGUAGUUCCUGCGCGUCGAGCCACCGUGCGAGCGAGAGCGGCAGCGGCAGUACAUGCUCGCGCGCACCCCGCGGCUUAGCGGCACCAUGCUGAUGGAGGCGGACUAGGGCCUGACGCUCGGGCACGACGAGCAGACCAGUCUCCUGCUCCAGCGCGCGGAGGAACGGCCGUGGCUUGAGCUAUUCCACUUUGGAAGAGAACAUCAUUCAGCACCACACAUACAUAGAAUCAGACACUAAGUACAACGUUACGUCAUUUAAGACACUUAAAACGCAAAUACCUCACCUAAGGAGAUACCAUAUGACAUAGAACGUGAUCAAACCAAUCAAACUCAACGCACUUAGACACCAAACAAACGAGUUUAAUAAACAUGGCAGUCGAUUAACCAGGCACAGAUUAUUACAUAAGGUAGUAUGACACUUUAGCAUAGUCGGUUUAAAUAGGAUGGUACAAAGUAUAGCUCGAACAGGUUCGAAGAGAUUUUUACCGUUUAAAGAUCCGUCUGUCACUUCGUUCUGUCCCUUAAGGAAGCACUCCUAACCUUCUUACAUACCUCGGUGAGUAAAGAAGACCUCUUAACCCACAGUUCGGUCUACUAGAAUCGGACCUCUUUAUAAAACGACGAUUUUCAGAAGAAAGCAGUUCCAGGAAGGCAUAUCUAUUUAUAGUACCAAGACCUAACCAAGGGGACCGACUGGAGAUUCGAUGUUAGAUGGAUACAUUAAACUAAGUAAAAUAGACGAAUACAACGUUUAUGACGUAGACAAUGCAACACCACUGACCACUCAAUAUCACCAAACUUAUAAUUGUUCCUAUACACGGGAAGUGACAUAAACCAAUAGUCAAAAUUAGUGUUCUGACUACCACUUGUACAGGUGAAGUGAUUCAGUCUUCGGAGUCUGAGACUACUUCUUCUUAUACUACUACUAGUUUCGUUACGUCUUCUUUAGCUGUACCCCGACGCCUCCGCUGAUGCUACUGUAGUAGUGCCACGACGCCGCCGCCGCUGCUGCUGCCGUAGCAGUGCCACGACGACGCCGCCGCUGCUGCUGCCGUAGUAGUGCCACGACGGCGCCGCCGCCGCUGCUGCUGUUGCUGUAGUUGUGGUAGUUUGUGCCCGAACACCUCCGCGGCUGAGGCUGCCGGAUAUGCGCACGUAUAUAACACACACACACAUAAUUAAUAGAUAUAGUCUAUACAUACUAACAGACAUGUGUACAUUACAUGUAUAAUAAUUUACGUACAUACACUCAUGAUACUUUACAUACAGAUUUGAGCUCCAUCUAAAAAUAAAAAAAUUUAGGAUUA
rnacentral:rRNA from 1 species